GGAGAGGUAUCGAAGCGGUCAUAACGAGGCGGUCUUGAAAACCGUUUGUCCGAAAGGACACAUGGGUUCGAAUCCCAUCCUCUCCG
rnacentral:tRNA from 1 species